rnacentral:pre_miRNA from 1 species
AAGAUACUCCCUCCGUCCGGAAAUACUUGUCAUCAAAAUGGCUGAAAAUGGAUGUAUUUAGAACUAAAAUGCAUCUAGAUACAUCCAUUUCAAUGACAAGUAUUUCCGGACGGAGGGAGUAUAUG